rfam:Haemonchus contortus, ISE/inbred ISE, WGS project CAVP01000000 data, contig: Hcontortus_35961
CUUGGUUAUGGUGACAUGGUACCGUCAACGGUUAUGGGUAAAAUUGUUGGUGGAAUCUGUUCAUUGUCUGGUGUGUUGGUGAUCGCGUUACCGGUUCCGGUGAGCUAGUUAUUACCAAA